GAUUGGAUUACGAACAGACUUCAUGUCACGUGAAUCCAUCACCAUGGUUUCCUUGCCGCACGUGCUCUGUGACGGAACUCCUUUGAUGUCGAUGAUGUAACAAACACGUUUGAAGUCCAAAACAGUGGACCACUUGCGAGUUCUGCUCAGAACACUUUAACAAGCGUUCAUAGUCCUGCUGAUUACAGAAAGAUUUGAGAAAAUUUGACCUUUUUUUCAACUUUUUUCUGUAAACACAGUUUGUAUUAAUUUGAUUUCUAGACAAAGACCUACUCAGUCAUCACAAUAGUAGUUACACAGCCAGAAGGAAUCCAUAUUUUCAUAGUUUUUCAAAGAAAACUGCAUCUCUAAAUGGAAAAACUGCUCUACAGUAUCCCAAAAGACAAGUGGGACGACUUUGUUGCUGGUAGUGCUGCGAUACAGAAAAUAUGGUUGAAGGAACAUCUGCUUUUGGACAGUACCAAUUUCUUUUCUGCUCUGGUUUUGUCCAAAGUCCAGAGCCUGCCUGUCACACGCAAGGAUGUCAAAGCCAUUGUGGGUAACCAACUACCAGAAGCUCUUGCGAACGUCCUGGGAAGUACAGUGAUUUGUGAUUUAGAACCCAUUAAAAUGUUUAACAAAUUAGUUAUCAGAGAAGUGGCAAGCAAGAUCCAAUCCUCCACCAAUCAGGACAGUAUGAAGAAACAGUCUCUGGUCAGAAGAAGCAUGGAUAAACUAUUCCACGCGGUGGAUCGAGUUAGGGUGCUGGGACAUCAAACAGCUGUAGAUAAUGGCACAAAAGCAAAGAUUUGUAAACAGGAGAAUGUUCCGUCUACCAAUGCUGCACCACACACUUUGAGGGCACCAAGAAGAAAAGCAAAGGGUGCACCUGCGAUUUAUAAUAAAUACCAUGGAGGGAAACAAUGGUUAAAAGAGGGAGUGCCCAAGUUACCAACCAUCCCUGAAGCCACUCAGAUGGAGGAAAUGUUGGCUGAAAUCAACCAUUUUGGAUACAACAUCCAGACUUACAAUGAGGUAAAUGUCCAUGAUUUGGAAACACAACCAUCUGCCAAGGUGUGUAACAUCUUAAAACCAGAGUCUCCUCCUCUUGAAGUUAACAAUAAAUCCACCAUCCACAAUGAGCGAUCAUCAAAGUCAUCAUUUGAUAACAAUAAAAAGGUUAAUUUCCUAAAUGAUUCUGAUGUUGAAAAACAGCCAUCCAGGGAAGAAUUCAAAGGCUUAAAAGCUAGCUAUCCCCUGGAACCCAAAAUUGUUGAGAGUGGGAAUUUUCAGGCGUGUGAUCUAUCAGAAUCUCCAACAGCUAAGAACAGUUCACAGAAUCCCAGUUUAGAGGAAGAGCACAGAAAAGAAUAUGUUGGCAUGAUUAUUGAGUUGCUUUUGGUGCAGGCACUUGAAGUAUCAUAUAUGUCAUGCUCCUGUAAAGUCUUUGAUGAUCUCUACGAGUAUAUUUUUGAGAAGGUCUGGACUGAGGUUCGGGGGCAAACUAUAAUAAUUCGCUCAGGACGCCUUAAUAGAUUUGUCAAAAGCAUCUUUUCAAAGAUUUGUGAAGACAUUUUCUGUAAAAAGAAAAGAGCCCUGUCUUUAUUUGUCAUGAGAGCCCCCAAGCCUGAAGAAGUAUAUCUGGCCAUUUUAAAGGAAAACCUGUUAAAGAAAGUUGGCAUUUGUGAAAGAUUUGUUAACUUCAUGUAUGACAUCUACGACAAAAUGAAUAAUGCGUGCGGCUAACGGCCUCAAAGUUCUUGUGACCAAGAUUCAUACACCCGGAAGGCAUCCAUGAUGGCUCUUAUCCAAAGUGGGGUUUCUCCAGGAGAGCAGUGAAGAAGCUCAAAUUACAAAUUCCACGCCAACAAGAGAACCCCAACACUUCCCAGAGACCACAAAUGUCGAAAAACCUACAUCCUGUCCGGGAUCUGCCAACAGCAGUGAGAAACGGCAUGAGAUCUGGAACAGGGUGAUGGAAUGAAAAUGGCCAUGCAGACACUUUAUAAGCAAAAUGAAUGUCUGACCCCAGAGUACACGGACAAAUUAUUAAACAUUUUUGCAAUAGUAAACAAGUCUUGUGUAAUAGAAUAUGUGACUAAACUGCCGUAGACAUCUAAUUGAUUCACAACAGCAGACACUACGGCCAAUUUGUGUUAAGGUUUAGAUUAUCUUCAAUAUAUUAUUUUCAGAAAAGCUGAACAUGCAGUUUGCAUAUAUUUGCCAAUGCAGGUGUGGGCUAAGAUGACGGACCAAGAAACUACGGUACAAAGUCAGUGCGAACAGUUUCCACACCUGUAUCAGAGGUCCUGUUAGCAGAUCUGCUAUGGAGGCGUCCAUCUGCAGCCGCAUUUCAGAGCUCAGAGGAACAGCCGACCUCAACGGCCUUCAUUUCGGGUCUGAAGCUGAAAACCUGGAUGGGACCAGAACUUCUUUACCUGGCUGGCGCUUUGGACUUAUAGGCUAAAUUUGUAGAGUUUGAGUGAUGCUUGUUUAAAUGUGUGUAAAUUAUCUUUGAGUUGUUUGCGGCGGCAUCUUCAGUAAGUUAAAUCAAGAGAAGUGGACAAAGAGGGGGUUGACCCGUUAAUGAUUUGUUUCUUCCUGCAGAGGGCUCAUGAUGUUUAUGUGUGAUUGUUUGCUAAAAAUAUUUUGCCUUUUUUCCCCCCCCAUUCUUGUAAUAUUUGAUCCUGUGGAUGCAAAUGUCAGAAGCCUUUGGUAUAAACUGAAAUAUGCAUGACUUCAUUUUCGUACACACUGUAACCUCCAGCCCUCUGUAAGAUACCCCUCUCAGCUCAAUGUUGCUGCAGUGCAUUGUUGCAGGUUCGUUUUGAGUUGUCCAGCGUAACCCUCCCGCUUGUCUGUCAAAAACUGCAGAUAUAAAGCUUCUUAACGCUGCAGUGGACACUAUAAAUGAUUAAUAAAACUGUGUAAACUGCUGAUGGAAAACCCUGCAAUGUUUUCACUUGUCUCAACCCCUGUCAAUUCAGAAGUAUCUUGGAAAAGUGCAUCAUCUGUUAAUAAAACUAGUAAAGGCGGUAAAUUCA